AACGAACGCUGGCGGCAUGCCUAACACAUGCAAGUCGAACGAGACCUUCGGGUCUAGUGGCGCACGGGUGCGUAACGCGUGGGAACCUGCCCUUAGGUUCGGAAUAACUCCCCGAAAGGGGUGCUAAUACCGGAUAAUGUCUUCGGACCAAAGAUUUAUCGCCUUUGGAUGGGCCCGCGUUGGAUUAGCUAGUUGGUAGGGUAAAGGCCUACCAAGGCGACGAUCCAUAGCUGGUCUGAGAGGAUGAUCAGCCACACUGGGACUGAGACACGGCCCAGACUCCUACGGGAGGCAGCAGUGGGGAAUAUUGGACAAUGGGCGCAAGCCUGAUCCAGCAAUGCCGCGUGAGUGAUGAAGGCCUUAGGGUUGUAAAGCUCUUUUACCCGGGAUGAUAAUGACAGUACCGGGAGAAUAAGCUCCGGCUAACUCCGUG
rnacentral:rRNA from 1 species